AAGCCCAACUAAUUUUUGUAUUUUUGGUAGAGAUGGGGUUUCACAAAGUUGGCCAGGAUGGUCUCGAUCUCUUGACCUCGUGAUCUGCCUACCUCGGACUCCCAAAGUGCUGGAAUUAACAGGCGCGAGCCACAGCGCCCAGUCUGGACAUAACUUCUGAUGAU